rnacentral:rRNA from 1 species
CAGCAGUCGCCGCGGGAAUACGUAGGUGGCAAGCGUUGUCCGGAAUUAUUGGGCGUAAAGGGCUCGCAGGCGGUUUCUUAAGUCUGAUGUGAAAGCCCCCGGCUCAACCGGGGAGGGUCAUUGGAAACUGGGAAACUUGAGUGCAGAAGAGGAGAGUGGAAUUCCACGUGUAGCGGUGAAAUGCGUAGAGAUGUGGAGGAACACCAGUGGCGAAGGCGACUCUCUGGUCUGUAACUGACGCUGAGGAGCGAAAGCGUGGUGAGCGAACAGGAUUAGAGACCCGCGUAGUCCCUGUCUCUUAUAC